rnacentral:misc_RNA from 1 species
GAGCGUCAUUGCAACCCUCAAGCACUGCUUGGUAUUGGAUGCUACCACAUGGUGCAUCUCAAAAAUAUUGGCAGUGGCAUUCAGCUUCUAGUGUAGUACUUUUUUCUCGCUUAGGAGUCUUUGAGUGUCUUACUGCUAGAAUCCUCUAAUUCAUCACAAAGGUUGACCUCGGAUCAGGUAGGGAUACCCGCUGAACUUAA